CUGAAAGAACCGUGUGCUCACAAACUACCUCCGCUUCUAAGUUUCCGUCCACUCCUCAGACUUUGCUCUGGAUUCUGUCCCUACGACUCCGCCAAAAUUGCUCUUGCCAAGGUGACCAGGGACCUCCAUGUUGCCCACUCCAAGGAGCACUUCUGAGUCCUCAUCUUACAUUGAGAAUCUUUCUAUUGCACCCGAAAGCAAGCCCAACUCAAAUUGCUGCCAACAAAACAGUUUGUCCAGGAGCAUCUACUGUAGCUACAGAUGUUUUGCCUCUGAAGUGCUCAAGUCUUUGCAGUUCUUUGUGAAUAAUAACAGGUAAUAGUAAUAUAAAUGUGCCAGGCACUCUUUUGUGCACUUCAAAUAUAUUCGUUUAAUGCAUACACCAA